UCCACCUCGACCUCAUGUCCACCUCCAUCCCAACCUCUCCAACCCAUCUUCGUCCCAUCUCCAGCUCCAUCCUCAUCUUCACCUUCAUCUCCGUCCCACCUCCACCUCACGUCCACCUUCGUCUCCGUCCUCAUCUUCAACUUCACUUCGGUCUCCGUCUCAUGUCCACCUCCAGCUCCAUCCCAACUUCUCUAUCCCAUCUCCGCCUCAUGUCCACUUUCAUCCUCAUCUUCAUCCUCGCUUCCACCUCCAGCUCAGAUCCAUCUCCAUCUCAACCUCGCCAGCCCAUCUCCACCUUCAUCUCCAUCCUCAUCCUCACCUUCGCUUCCACCUCAAGUCCACCUCCACGUCCAGCCCAGUGUCUCCGUCCCACCUUCACCUUCAUCUCUGUCCCGUCUCCAUCCCAACGUCUCCAUCCCACCUUCACCUUCAUCUCCAGUCCAUCUCCAUCUCCACCCCAACGUCCCCAGUCCAACGUCUCCAUCCCACCUUCAUCUUCAUCUCCAUCUCCAUCCCAACGUCUCCAUCCCACCUUCACCUUCAUCUCCAGUCCAUCUCCAUCUCCACCCCAACGUCCCCAGUNUCUCUGUCCCGUCUCCAUCCCAACGUCUCCAUCCCACCUUCACCUUCAUCUCCAGUCCAUCUCCAUCUCCACCCCAACGUCUCCAUCCCACCUUCAUCUUCAUCUCCAUCUCCAUCCCAACGUCUCCAUCUCACCUUCAUCUCCAGUCCAUCUCCAUCUCCACCCCAACGUCCCCAGUCCAACGUCUCCAUCCCACCUUCAUCUUCAUCUCCAUCUCCAUCCCAACGUCUCCAUCCCACCUUCAUCUCCAGUCCAUCUCCAUCUCCACCCCAAUGUCCCCAGUCCAAUGUCUCCAUCCCACCUUCAUCUUCAUCUCCAUCCCAACGUCUCCAUCCCACCUUCAUCUUCAUCUCCGUCCCACCUCCAUCCCAACAUCUCCAUGCCACAUUCACGCUCAUCUCCACCCCAGCGUCUCCAUCCCAUCUCCAUCUCCGUCCCACCUCAAUCCCAAUGUCUCCAUCCCACCUCCACCUUCAUCUUCAUCUCCAUUCCAACGUCUCCACCCCCCCUUCAUCUUCAUCUCUGUCCCAUCUCCACCUCAAAGUCUCCAUCCCACCUUCACCUUCAUCUCCGUCCCAUAUCCACCUCCACUCCAACAUCUGUAUCCCAACAUCUCCAUCCCACCUUCAUCUUCAUCUCCGUCCCACCUCCAUGCCAACAUCUCCACGCCACCUGCACCAUCAACUCCACCCCCCUUCAUCUUCAUCUCUGUCCCAUCUCCAUCCCAACAUCUCCAUCCCACCUUCAUCUUCACCUCCGUCCCACCUCCAUCCCAACAUCUCCAUCCCACCUUCACCUUCAUCUCUGUCCCACCUCCACCCUAACAUCUCCACCCCAACAUCUCCACUCCACCUUCAUCUCUGUCACACCUCCAUCCCAAUGUCUCCAUCCCACCUUCAUCUUCAUCCCCGUCCCACCUCCAUCCCAACAUCUCCAUCCCACCUUCAUCUCUGUUCCAUCUCCACCUGAAUCCCAACGUCUCCACCCCAACGUCUCCAUCCCACCUUCAUCUUCAUCUCCAUCCUAUCUCCAUCCCAAUGUCUCCAUCCCACCUUCAUCUCCAGCUCUACUCCAAUGUCUCCACCCCAACAUCUCCAUCCCACCUUCAUCUUUAUCUCCAUCCCACCUCCAUCCCAACACCUUCACGCCAACUCCACCAUCAUCUCCACCCCACCUUCGUCUUCAUCUGUCUCUGUCUCAUCUCCAUCCCAAUGUCUUCAUCCCCAUUCCAUCUCCAUCUGAAUCUCAACGUCUCCACCCCAAUGUCUCCAUCCCAACGUUUCCAUCCCACCUUUGUCUUCAUCUCCAUCCCACCUCCAUCCCAACAUCUCCAUCCCACCUUCGUUUUCAUCUCCAUCCCACCUCUAUGCCAACGUCUCCAUCCCACCUUCAUCUCCAUCUCACUUCCGUCUCAACGUCUCCAUCUCCAUUCCAUCUCCAUCUAAAUCCCAACGUCUCCAACCCAAUGUCUCCACCCCAACAUCUCCAUCCCACCUUCAUCUCCAUCUCACUUCCGUCUCAACGUCUCCAUCUCCGUUCCAUCUCCAUCUAA
ensembl:lncRNA